AUACUUACCUGGCAGCGGAGAUACCAUGAUCACGAAGGUGGUUUUCCCAGGGUGAGGCUCAUCCAUUGCACUCCGGAUGUGCUGACCCCUGCGAUUUCCCCAAAUGCCGGAAACUCGACUGCAUAAUUUGUGGUAGUGGGGGACUGCGUUCGCGCUUUUCCCUG
ensembl:snRNA U1 U1 spliceosomal RNA